GCCGAAGUGGCGGAACUGGUAGACGCACUAGGUUCAGGGUCUAGCGGGCGUAGGCCUGUACGAGUUCGAGUCUCGUCUUCGGCACCA
rnacentral:tRNA from 1 species